GAUGAACGCUGGCGGCGUGCCUAAUACAUGCAAGUCGAGCGAACGGACGAGAAGCUUGCUUCUCUGAUGUUAGCGGCGGACGGGUGAGUAACACGUGGAUAACCUACCUAUAAGACUGGGAUAACUUCGGGAAACCGGAGCUAAUACCGGAUAAUAUUUUGAACCGCAUGGUUCAAAAGUGAAAGACGGUCUUGCUGUCACUUAUAGAUGGAUCCGCGCUGCAUUAGCUAGUUGGUAAGGUAACGGCUUACCAAGGCAACGAUGCAUAGCCGACCUGAGAGGGUGAUCGGCCACACUGCAACUGAGACACGGCCCAGACCCCGACGGGAGGCAGCAGCAGGGAAUGUGACGCAAUGGGUGAGAUCCUGAAGGAGCAACGGCGAGUGAGUGAUGAAGGUCCUCGGUGCGUAAAGCUCUGUUAUCAGGGAAGACCAUAUGUGCAAGUAACUGCGCCAAGCUCGACGGUACCUAAGCAGAAAGCGGCGGUUAACUGCGU
rnacentral:rRNA from 1 species